GUGUUGCCAAAGUUAGUGCUGAGUGUGUAUGCCAUCCAGUACUUGGAAAACUAACAAUAAGUAUUUCAAGGCCUGGCGUUGAGUGCAUCGUUACAGUAUAAGCUUGGGUUUUUGUGCAUGCAUACUGUAUAUACGGCAAUCGUAUUUUAUAUUUUUAAUAUAGUUUAUAUACUGUAAAAUACUGUAUGAUGUCUUCUCCUUUUUUGCUGUAUGUAUGCACAAAAACCAAACCAAAAUCUUAAUAAAUAAUUUGGGGGAAAAAACAAACAGACAGACACUGCAUGCAACACCGAAUACGUUACGGAUAUGACUGACUGGCCUGAGGGUGGAGAACACUGGUAGGGGUGUGGAUGGAGUGGUGGCGAGUAAAACUAGGUCACCAAAUAGGUCAGGGCUGUGGCCACGUUCAGUCACUAGGGCUUUCUGUUCUUUAUCAAAGCACCAUGCUUCUGAGAUCACUACUUGAGUUUUCUGAAGGAAUAAAAUAAAAACUCAUUAAGCCUACCAGGUCGAUCAACGUUAUUAUACUAGGAGUGUAAUUAUAGUAGAAAUGUUUCCACUUCCUGUGUUCAUUCAGAUUAUAGAGAACCCAUUAGCGUAAACGUAGAAUGAUAAAAAUGAGUCAUUCAGAUGGCAUGAUUGUAUAACGAUGUGAGGUUCAUCAUUUUCGAGCACUGACUACAAGGGUGAACGUGUUGGUGAAUUUAAAUGAUAACUUGCCCUCUAGUGAACAUUACAUUUACAUUUAUUCAUUUAGCAGACGCUUUUAUCCAAAGCGACUCACAAACGAGUAAAUACAAGCAAAAUAGGACUUGUGAAUUUCUAAUUACCCUUUUUGUGACUGUGUGUGUGUGAGAGAGAGAAUUUAAUAUUCAGAGUCACUCUCUUGUGUUUCCAUGGCGACCUGGCCUCUGUUAUUACCAGUUGUCCCCUCUGGCCUUGGCAGAUCAAUGCUCAUACUCAUAAUCAUGUAUACAUUGACACCUAUGCUGCUUUUUUAUAUAUUGUUGGGCUUUACCUUUUACAGCUUAUUACUAUGUAGCAGGUUUUUAUUCAUGCUUGUGAACAUAUUUUCUAUCACUAAUCUACACCCAUCCUACAUUAGCUAAAUAUCUUAAUGCUAUUCAUUCAUAAGAAUGAAUCAAAAGAACAGGUGACCUCUAGUGGUGAUGGAUUGCAUGUCCAUACACUGUGACAUUUGUGUGUUCUUGUCGCAUUGAAUGCUUCUUAAUGUGCUUUUGCUGUCUCACACUGACAGGCCCUGAGCGAGCGAUAAAGAUAAAGAGUGUGUCUUCUCCCUCCAGCAUCCUCCGGCACCCUGCUGCACUUUUCCAACAUGGAGCAGAAGACAACGUCACCUCAGAAGCAUAUGGUGAAGAGCAGGUCCAAGUCUACAGAGGAAAUCCAGCAAGCCAAGAAGGCCUUCCACAUACCGCAGAAGUCCCUUCCUGGUGGAUCAGAUUUUGACAAAGUGAAGGAGGGUCAGGAAGAAUCUGAAACCCCCACAUCAGCCUCAGAAGAAUUGAAGUAAUAUACAGGAGCCUGGAACAAUGCAUACACACACACACACACACACACACACACACACACACACACACACACACACACACACACACAGAGCUUCACAUAUCAACUGAAUGUGUUUCAGUAAUGUACAUGUAAGUCAUAUGGUGCUUAUAUACAGUCGACUCCAAAAUUAUUGGUGCCCUUCAUGACAGUGAGCCAAGUAUGCUCACGCAUCCUCACACAUCUAGCUUGUUUUAGAAAAGUGAAACUUUUUUUUCCGCUGUGUCACUGAUUGUGCUUAAUAGUAUAUUUAACUGCAGCUCAUCAACCAAUCUGUGUAUAUAGAAUUAUAAAUGAGUAUAAAGGCAACAUGUGCAUGUGUGCAACAUGGAAACAUGAAAUGGCCAAAGACAACAGUUUUUCUUCGUUUUGUUAUUUAUACCACAAUUCAGAUUUUAUUUUAUUUAUUUUUUCAUUUGAAGAAAAGCCAUGGCAGAUGCUUGGAUACUUACUUAUUUAUUUAUUUAUUUAUUUAUUUAUUUAUAUAUUUAUUUUUUUUGAAAGAUACUAUUUUUAAAAAAUCGGAAUUGAUAAGCGUGAUUUAUUGCUUAAAAAAAGCCAAGUUCUUUUGUUUAGGUGGACAAUCGGGAUCACUGUGGAAUGUGAUUUUUGCUCGGGGCAGCAUGUAACAUUGCCGUUUCACUGCUCUAGAGUUCCCAGUUCAAUAAAGAGCUGGGGUUAUUUUCUGUGUGGAAUUUCUUUGCAUCCAUAUGGGUUCUCUAGGCUCCAGGUUCUUCAGUUUCAUCCCACUUCCCAAAAAACAUGCCAGUAGGUGGAUUGGAUAUGCUAGUGCUAUUGGACUUGCCCUGGGUGUGAAUGUGUGUGUAUGUGUAUAUUUUGCACUGUGAUGGACUGGCAUCUCAUCGUGAGUGUAUUCCCAUAUUUUGUACAGUGUUCCCGGGAUAGGCUCCGGAUUCAUCGCAAUUCUGACCAGGAUAAAACGCGUCCUGAUGAUGAAUAAAUGAAUUAAUGCAUUUUUGCUCAUUUUAUUAAAGAGUGCCAAUAAUUCUGGAGUUGAAUGACAUUAAAUGCUUUGCCGUCAAAACCCACGUCUAGGCAUGGUCACUGUAGUUGUUGAAUUGUUGAACUGUUGCGAUGUCAAGUGUAAUAUUGUAUUCAUGGGUUUGAGGAGGUGGUGUUACUUCUCAAAGAUGCUCUGUAGGCUAGUGUUCAAAAUAAAUCUGUUCA